rnacentral:lncRNA from 1 species
GAUCACAUUGCCACAAACUAACACAAUUUACUUCCUAGAUUUUUCAGAAAUCCCCAAAAAACAAAAACAACAUCAAACUUGAUCCUCAUCAUCAUUGUCAUUGCUCAUGAUCAUGCUAUAGAAGUAUAUAAACCCAUGUAAACAGUAGGCAAUAAAAGAAAAGGCAGCAACAGGGAGGGAGUGAGGGAGGGAGGGGGAAUGAGUGAGUGAGUGAGUGCGUGAUAAUUAAAGGUAGCAAUCAGAGGAGCAGCAGCAUCUGCAGGAAUAGUAGUACUGGUAGUACCCCCCCCCAUGCACAUUACACCUGGUGGUGGUGGUAUCAACAGCCAAAUCUUAAUGGGAUGCUGAAAUCUAAAGAUCAUGACUGGAUUU